CUCUUACAUUUGUAUCUCUUUUCAGAUAUUAGCGAUUCCGACUUCCUAAUGAUGCAGUACACUCGUUUCAAGAACACCUACUGCGGUGACCCUAAGAACAGGGUGAGUCCUGUGGACAAACGCCAGUGUGACGAGGUGGACAAAAUGAUGCCAGCGGACAUCAAGUGUGCAUAAGCAGAAUCUGCAUUCACCUGUGAUGUAGAAACAUCAAUAAAACUGUUGGUAAUA
rnacentral:lncRNA from 1 species